UACGUAGGUGGCAAGCGUUGUCCGGAUUUACUGGGCGUAAAGAGCGCGCAGGCGGUCGUUCAAGUCGCGUGUGAAAGCCCCCGGCUCAACUGGGGAGGGUCACGCGAUACUGAGCGACUCGAAGGCAGGAGAGGGAAGUGGAAUUCCCGGUGUAGUGGUGAAAUGCGUAGAUAUCGGGAGGACCACCAGUGGCGAAGGCGACUGCCUGGCCUGUUCUUGACGCUGAGGCGCGAAAGCUAGGGGAGCAAACGGG
rnacentral:rRNA from 1 species